UCGUAUUGAAACCUUUUUCUUUUAAGUAAGUUUAUAAUCAGUAAAUAUAUGAGACGGGUGAGUUCGCUUACGCAGCGCUGCGUGACCGUUAAGUUAUGUGGCUAAAUGAAGCUAAGCUAACGGUUUUCAGACCGUUAGCAUUGCAACUAACUGCGAGUACCUGUGGCGCGGUUGGGGGUCUUCCUGGCGAUGCAGCUGACCAGGUUUCAGGGCUCCUAAUUACUAACUAGUUAAUGGCAGCUAAUUAUUUGGCCGACGAACGUGUAAGCAACUUAACUCGUGAAUAACAGAAACAAGAGUUUACUUGUUAAACCGGUGGCUGACAAGAAUGUUGGACUAUCAACGGUUAAAACGUUUUUUUAGCCACUUAGAAGUUAACGAGGUCAUUUCAUAUUCGUUUAUCAAAACAUUACCGAAGAGUCACAUGGUUGGAAAGUUGGCCACCUAAUAUCUGGAUAUAUCUGCAUGCACGUCCAGCGAGUCCACUGUGAGGUCGUAAGGGUCCAUGCUGAGGUUGUUGAAGACUUGCUUGAGUGUAAUCUUCUGGCAGCCCUUCUCCAGCACCACACGUUCUUCCUCUGUCUGAUGACACCAGUAACAUUUGCCCUCGCAUUGGCACAGCUUUCAGCCUGCCACUUGGCUAGCACAUUCCGGAAGCUGUCAUUCCUGAAGAGCCUCUCCACACGUGUAUGCUCUCUCGACUGCAACAGCUGAACAGUGCCUUGAUGACCUUGACCUACAUCCCCCGAACUAUAGAAAGCUGAGCUACACAAAGUAAUCCCGACUGAGCUCAGCGUCAGAAAAGGCUGCUGGGCCCCAGUUUGUGAUCAUCUGCUGCCCCUUGGAGCCUGGAGAAGACAAAUUCAAGAGACUGUUCACCAUAGUGCCUGCAGGGCGUUCUCCUUGGCCAGACGCUCCUUCUCCAGCUCCUGCUUCUCAGCUUCCGUCUCUGAGAUGGCUCGCUGCUGCCGCAGGUGGAUCUGUUCCAGCUCUGCUCUCUUCAUGGCCUCUUCCUCCAGUAACCUGCUCGACACAGAUAUUAACAUGUGUCCUCUCCGACAUAGUAGGAGAUGGAGUUGGGCUUCAGCAUGAACCAGCGCUCCGUCCAGUUCUUCCUCUUGUGACCUUUCUUCAUCAUGUAGCCCUGCAGAGAGAAACAGGGACAUGAAUCAUGGAUGAGCUCCUGGUAGACCUCGCUGAUGCCCAUGGACAGCGUCUGGAUGUCCAUGCCUUUACUGAAGUGACCCGACCCCACCAGGAU